GCGUAUGUGCGUGAUGACUAAACUUUUUUUCCCCAUCAGAUCGACAAUGUUGAUUUUAUGAUGCUUAAAAGCCAGUAGUGUCUGACACAUAAGC